ACUGGCGUGAACAUUAGAUGGGGAAAUAGACCAACUUUACAAAAAAGAUGGGGAAGAUGGGGAAAUAGACCAACUUUAAAAAAAAGAAAAAGGGCCCUCGUGGCCCAGUGGGUAGAGUGAUGCACUUGGAGUUUGGCGUGAGGGAAGUGAGGGGCGCGUAGGUUCGAACCCCCCUCUCGGAACUCACAAAAACCUUCAAAGAGCAUCCCUCCAUCACCAUGUGUGCCUCAAACACACAGGUACGGUGAUGGAGCUGCCCACGGGGAGGAGGGGAGGUGAGUGCGCAGCACCUCCCUACCCCUCCCCAGGGGAGGAAGGCACCGCCUUACCGCCCCCGGGAGAGCAAGGGAGGUGAGUGCACAGCGCUUCCCUUCUCUCCCCUACCUAACCCUGGCAAGUCUACGGGCUACCAGGCAAAAAUUAAUAAAAAAAAUAAAUAAAUAAAAAUAAAAAAAUAAAGGUGAGUGCAUAGCACUUCACCUAACAGGAAAAAAAAUAAAUGAAAAAUAAAGGUGAGUGCAUAGCACUCACCUACCACGAAAAAAAAAUUAAAUAAAUAAAUAAAAAAAUAGAAAAAAUAAAUAAAAUAAAAAUAAAUAAAAACCACCCUACCACCUCGGACCUCGGGAGAGCAAGAGAGGUGAGUGCACAGCACUUCCCUUCUCUCCCCAAGUCUACAGACUACCACACCAAAAAAGAAUAAAAUAUAUAUAAGUAUAAAGAAAAAAAAAACAAUAAAAAAAUAAAAUAAGUCAAUAAAAUGAGUCUGGUAAUCAACAAUAAGUAAUAAAAAUAAAUCAAUACCAACCUGACUGACCCUGACAACUCCAAAGACCACCACCCCACCUGUGAAGCACGGGAGGUGAGUGUGCAGCACCUCCCUACCCUUCCCAGUCUCCCAGUUUGACUUUGACCACCAAUCUGACUCAUCCUAGCAACUCCAACUGUUCAGACCACCACCAGUAUUCCCCACCCUAGCAACUGAUCCUGGCAAGGUGAGUGCGUAGCACUUCCCGUGACUCAUCCUGGCAAAUUCUAAAGACCCAUCAUCCUGACUGGCCUUGGGGAGCAUGGGAGGUGAGUGUGCAGCACCUCCCUACCCUUCCCAGUCUCCCAGUUUGACUUUGACCACCAACCUGACAACUGUACAGACUACCACCACUACCCCUCUGAGAGUGAGUGCGUAGCACUUCCCUUGACUGACUGGGCCUGACUGACUGACCCUGGCAACUCCAAAAACAACCAACCUGACAAAUGUAACCUGCGGAGCAUGAAAGGUGAGUGUGCAGCACCUCCCUACCCUUCCCAGUCUUCCACCAACCUGACUUGAAUUAUGACUGGGUAGCAGGGGAGGUGAGUGUGCAGUACCUCCUACUUU